UUAGCUGGGCAGGAAGUUUCACAGCAGCCAGGCCCAGGAGGAGGUACUAAGCCAUGGUAAGGGGAGAAUUUGAAGGGAACCAGAAGUUCAUGAGGUAAAGCCAAAUUGGAACUCCCAGAUGCUCAGGGAAUGCCAGCGGAUUGAAAGGAUGGAAUGGCUACACAGUUCUACCCUCAGGGUUGUUGGAAAGAAGAUUCAGGGGAGAUGGAUAAAGGCGUUUCAGCUGACUGCUAAGCAUGGGUAGAGUUGGAUGAAGUGGUGCUGACUUCAUGUUUCUCCGUGGUGAGGUGGAGAGGGCCUGACUGAAGAAAACUGAAAGCCCCAUCGGUUCAGGGAGGCCCGCGGAUUGGGUUUAAUGAAACCUCGCUAAGUAGCCCCCAAAGAAGUCCAAUUUCCACUCAUUUCACCUUCUGCUGUUGAUCUAAAAGCGACUGACAACAUAAUCCCCCUGAUUUGAAGGUCCAAGUUCAGCUUCUGAAGACUUGCUGACAUGCUUUUCAAACGAGCGGCUGUGAACUGCCCGAGUCUGUUGAUUAAAGAGUCUGCAUCCAUUUC